GGAAGGAUCAUUCCUUUUAAAAAAUUAAUCGACGUUGAACCGGUUGUUGGGCGCAAGCCUGGCAGUCACCGUAAACAAAAUUUGUAUAAAUAUAAACAAUAUCCAACUGUAAGCAACGGAUACCUCGGCUAUCACAACGAUGAAGAACGCAGCAAAGCGCGAUAGGAAUUGCGAAUUGCAGAAUUCAGUGAAUCAUCGUACUUUUGAACGCAAUUGCGCUUGAGGGCAACCUUGAGCAUGCCUCUUUGAGUAUCGGUAAAACCAAAAGCAUUUUGAAUGCUUGACAUGGCGGUUAUUAUCAAUCCGCUUAAACAAUACGAGUGUUUAAUGUUGACAUAAAAGUUUUGCUUGAUGUUGGUGGCAACACUUUGCAUUGCAGCAUCUCUUUUCAUCAAUACGACAACACACAAGUUUUUUUCACGAAAAACUACUACCAAUUUGGAUCUCAAAUGAGGCAAGACCACCCCCUGAAUUUAAGCAUAUAAUUAAGGGGAGGAAAAGAAACUAACUAGGAUUCCCUGAGUAACUGCGAGUGAAACGGGAAGAGCUCAACCUUGAAAUCGGUGCGGGUCUCCUGUAUCGAGUUGUGGGUUGUGGAAGUAUUCUCAGCAAGUGGCCCUGCUCUAAGUCUGCUGGAAUGCAGCUGUCAUAGAGGGUGAGAAUCCCGUCUUGGGGUGGGAGACUGCUGCGUACGAGGUGCUUUCCGAGAGUCGGGUUGCUUGGGAGUGCAGCCUUAAAUGGGAGGUGAAUUCCUUCCAAAGCUAAAUACCUGUGAUAGACCGAUAGCGCACAAGUACCGUAAGGGAAAGGUGAAAAGGACUUUGAAAAGAGAGUCAAAAGUACUUGAAAUUGCUUAUAGCCAACGGAUAGGAACUAUUGGAUCGGUUAGUCGUAUGCUUUUUUGGAAGGAUCAGGUUUUUGUUCGUGUGUCGAGUCUUGUGCUUGGCUGUGGAUAGGGACUGGUAGGUUUUUUCAAAGGGGGAUUAGCGGCUAUAGAUGUCAAGAUGAGUUUUGAGCGAGGGAAAAGAGUGGUGUGGAGGUAUAGGUUGAGCCUGCAAGGGUGAUCCUUGAGUACAUGCUGCGGAUACCUUGUUUGGGACUGAGGUAUGAUUUUGACGAAAUGGUUCUUAUUCACCCGUCUUGAAACACGGACCAAGGAGUGUAAGGUGUAUGCGAGUGUUUGGGUGUAAAACCCGUGCGCGUAAUGAAAGUGAGGUCAUCGCAAGAUGAUGAGGUGUUUAUGCAGUCUUUAUAAAAGGCGAGCAGUCCACACCGCCCGGCCCUUCCCUAGUGUUGGGUACGAGGACGAGCAUAUACGUUGCGACCCGAAAGAUGGUGAACUAUACCUGAGCAGGGUGAAGCCAGGGGAAACUCUGGUGGAAGCUCGUAGCGAUACUGACGUGCAAAUCGUUCGUCGGACUUGGGUAUAGGGGCGAAAGACUAAUCGAACCAUCUAGUAGCUGGUUCCCCC
rnacentral:misc_RNA from 1 species